UACGUAGGGUGCGAGCGUUGUCCGGAAUUACUGGGCGUAAAGAGCUCGUAGGUGGUUUGUCGCGUUGUUCGUGAAAACUCACAGCUUAACUGUGGGCGUGCGGGCGAUACGGGCAGACUGGAGUACUGCAGGGGAGACUGGAAUUCCUGGUGUAGCGGUGGAAUGCGCAGAUAUCAGGAGGAACACCGGUGGCGAAGGCGGGUCUCUGGGGCAGUAACUGACGCUGAGG
rnacentral:rRNA from 1 species